UACGUAGGGUGCAAGCGUUGUCCGGAAUUAUUGGGCGUAAAGAGCUCGUAGGCGGUUUGUCGCGUCUGCUGUGAAAACUCGGGGCUUAACCCCGGGCCUGCAGUGGGUACGGGCAGACUAGAGUGCGGUAGGGGAGACUGGAAUUCCUGGUGUAGCGGUGAAAUGCGCAGAUAUCAGGAGGAACACCGAUGGCGAAGGCAGGUCUCUGGGCCAUUACUGACACUGAGAAGCGAAAGCAUGGGGAGCGAACAGG
rnacentral:rRNA from 1 species